rnacentral:rRNA from 1 species
CAGUCGAGCGAAUGGAUUGAGAGCUUGCUCUCAAGAAGUUAGCGGCGGACGGGUGAGUAACACGUGGGUAACCUGCCCAUAAGACUGGGAUAACUCCGGGAAACCGGGGCUAAUACCGGAUAACAUUUUGAACUGCAUGGUUCGAAAUUGAAAGGCGGCUUCGGCUGUCACUUAUGGAUGGACCCGCGUCGCAUUAGCUAGUUGGUGAGGUAACGGCUCACCAAGGCAACGAUGCGUAGCCGACCUGAGAGGGUGAUCGGCCACACUGGGACUGAGACACGGCCCAGACUCCUACGGGAGGCAGCAGUAGGGAAUCUUCCGCAAUGGACGAAAGUCUGACGGAGCAACGCCGCGUGAGUGAUGAAGGCUUUCGGGUCGUAAAACUCUGUUGUUAGGGAAGAACAAGUGCUAGUUGAAUAAGCUGGCACCUUGACGGUACCUAACCAGAAAGCCACGGCUAACUACGUGCCAGCAGCCGCGGUAAUACGUAGGUGGCAAGCGUUAUCCGGAAUUAUUGGGCGUAAAGCGCGCGCAGGUGGUUUCUUAAGUCUGAUGUGAAAGCCCACGGCUCAACCGUGGAGGGUCA